rnacentral:rRNA from 1 species
AUUGAACGCUGGCGGCAGGCCUAACACAUGCAAGUCGAGCGAGCGGCGGACGGGUGAGUAAUGUCUGGGAAACUGCCUGAUGGAGGGGGAUAACUACUGGAAACGGUAGUUAAUACCGCAUACCAUCAGAUGUGCCCAGAUGGGCGGAGCUAGUAGGUGGGGUAACGGCUCACCUAGGCGACGAGCCCUAGCUGGUAUGAGAGGAUGACCAGCAACACUGGAAAGUAGACACGGUCCAGACUCCUGCGGGAUGAAGCAGUAGGUAAUAGUGCACAAUGGGCGCAAGCCUGAUGCAGCCAUGCCGCGUGUGUGAAGAAGGCCUGCGGGGUGUAAAGCACUUUCAGCGGGGAGGCGUUACCCGCAGAAGAAGCACCGGCUAACUCCGUGCCAGCCGCCGCGGUAAUAC